AAAAAUAAAAGCUCACAUGCCUGGCGGUUGCAGCAUCAGAGCUCUGUGGAUCCUUAACAAUCUCGAAGGCGUCGUUUUCUCCAGGAGGUUUCCGGUGGUGGAGAAGCAGUGGCGGGCUGCUUGCAAGANNNNGCUCAAACGAGGAUCCGGUUAAGUACACUGUUCCACCAUUUCUUCCAAAUGAUUCAGAGAUAGCUGCUGCAUUUGUGGGGAGGAAGAAAAGUGAGGGUUCAACACGUGGGUAUGGCAUAAGGGUGACUCAUUCAGAUAAAAGGUCGGACUCCUGGGUUGAUGACCCUAUUACGCGU
rnacentral:misc_RNA from 1 species